GCCGGCGUGGCUCAAUGGCAGAGCGUCAGCUUCCUACACGUCAGUGCACCUUCUAGCUGAAGGUUGUGGGUUCGACCCCCACCGUCGGUA